rnacentral:lncRNA from 1 species
GUAAAUCUGAUAUUGGUGAGUGCUAAACUUGCCGGGUGUCUAAAUAGCUAGCCCGUGAUGCCUGGGCUAUGUACUUAGAAUAUUGCAAAAUGUGCUUUCACCAAAAAGCUAUUUUAAAAUCGGACAUAUCGCGUGAAUAGAGGAGUUCUGUAUCUAUAAUUCUUAAAAUAAUUGUUAUGCUUUUUGUGAACGUUUAUCGUGAGUAAUUUAGUAAAUUGUUAGUAAAUUUCCCGGAAGUUUGCGGGGGGUAUGCUAGUUCUGAACGUCACAUGCUAAUGUAAAAAGCUGUUUUUUUUAUAUAAAUAUGAACUUGAUUGAACAAAACAUGCAUGUAUUGUAUAACAUAAUGUCCUAGGUGUGUCAUCUGAUGAAGAUCAUCAAAGGUUAGUGCUGCAUUUAGCUGUCUUCUGGGUUUUUGUGACAUUAUAUGCUAGCUUGAAAAAUGGGUGUCUGAUUAUUUCUGGCUUGGUACUCUGCUGACAUAAUCUAAUGUUUUGCUUUCGCUGUAAAGCCUUUUUGAAAUCAGACACUGUGGUUAGAUAAAGGAGAGUCUUAUCUUUAAAAUGCUGUGAAAAAUGCUCCUAUUCAGUCUUGCAGUUUUCUUUUGCUUUUUUCCGAUGUACUUCACUCUAAAAACCAUGUAAAUUUCAAUAUUUGUAGGAGCUCAUUUUUCAGCUGCUGCUGCUCAAAUUAUAAACUAGUGUUUUUCCACUUUCAAAAGACAUUCCAAUUCCUGCCAAAAUGUUCAUAAAUUCAUAAAAAUGAAAGAUUCACAGACUAAGGCCUACCUUCAAUUUGGACUUCCAGAUAAUUUGCACACGUAGGAUUUGACUAUAAAGUUUCAACAAUAUAUCAUUGAAAACAGAAACACAAGACCUAGUUUUAAAUCACAAAAUAUAUUAUUGAUCAAAUAAAGUUCUCAUAAGAUAAAAGUAAUGUAUUUGAGAUUAUUUCAUUAAAUUAUAGGUCCUACCUCAGUUCAGGAAGAGCAUCAAUGACCUGUCUAUGGAUUGUCUUAGUUUAACAAAAUAAUGCUUCAUUAUGACAUCAUGUACAUUAUGACAUAGCAGCCGUCUACAUCCUAAAAGUUUGUCAAAACCACUUGAAUAGGCAUGAAAUGUAAAAUUAAAUACAAUAGGCCUAAUUCAACAAUUGAAUUAAAAUAAUAGUUUGACAGUAAUUAUUCAGUUUAUUGGCUUUUAUUUUCAUUACAGUAGUGGUUUUGAAUUUAUUAAAAUCAGAGUAGGCCUAGUGAGUUUCGUAGAACUCGAUCGCUCAUUGAACAUCUGUGUGGAACGUUCCCAGCUGAUGCCACACAGACACCUUUGAAAAAAAAUCACGAUUUUAGAUUCAUAUUCAACUUAUCAGCAUAUAUGCACGGCAAAUAAAUUCCCAGUAAUCAAAUAAAUCUGAAAAUCGCAAUUAUCUAUUUAUUAUAGCAUCCUCUUAGAACGAGAAUCACUGUGGUGUCAAUGUUUUGAUUAUGUCCAAGUAGGAACAUUGCUAUAGGUAUUUUGACUUCUAUACUACAAUAGUGGUAGUUGUGUGCGUUUUCUUGUCGUUCAUUCGUUUUGAGUCAGCGCUAAACCCAACUCAACCAAAAAUAAAAGUUAAAGAAUGGAAUUAAGCCAGUGUCUUAGAUUGAACUAUCCAAGCAGUAAAUAUAUCCUUUAAAUGUUGAUAUUUGGUUGCGUUGUCAACUAAACACAAUUCAAUAUUACUUUUGUAAUACAGUAAAUAGCCUAAAGUUAAGGCUCUUACAAACUAAUGUAACAGUUUUU